rfam:Ipomoea nil DNA, scaffold: scaffold1317, cultivar: Tokyo-kokei standard.
GGGGAUGUAGCUCAGAUGGUAGAGCGCUCGCUUAGCAUGCGAGAGGUACGUGUAUCGAUACCCCGCAUCUCCA